UUGCCAUGCCUCGGGAGGCAGCAGUGGGGAAUUUUCCGCAAUGGGCGAAAGCCUGACGGAGCAAUGCCGCGUGGAGGUGGAAGGCCUACGGGUCGUCAACUUCUUUUCUCGGAGAAGAAACAAUGACGGUAUCUGAACCGUUCGAGCACGUUGUGGACGACCCUUCCAUCAUUGGUGUAGAGUCCUUCACGUGCUC
rnacentral:ncRNA from 1 species